rnacentral:rRNA from 1 species
GGCGAAAGAUGGACGAAGCGGCGGUGGGAAGAAGUAGGGUGGGGUCGUUAAUAGGAAUUACUGGGCGUAAGGCGGGUGAAGGCGGUUUGGGAAUACAGGCGGGGAAUCCCCGGGCUUAACCUGGGAACUGCGCUUGGGACUGCCAGGCUAGAGUACGGCAGAGGGGGGUGGAAUUCCACGUGUAGCAGUGAAAUGCGUAGAGAUGUGGGGGAACACCAAUGGCGAAGGCAGCCCCCUGGGUCGAUACUGACGCUCAUGCACGAAAGCGUGGGUAGCAAACAGGAUUAGAUACCCUAAGUC